rnacentral:rRNA from 1 species
ACGAACGCUGGCGGCGUGCUUAACACAUGCAAGUCGAACGGAAAGGCCCUGCUUUUGUGGGGUGCUCGAGUGGCGAACGGGUGAGUAACACGUGAGUAACCUGCCCUUGACUUUGGGAUAACUUCAGGAAACUGGGGCUAAUACCGGAUAGGAGCUCCUGCUGCAUGGUGGGGGUUGGAAAGUUUCGGCGGUUGGGGAUGGGCUCGCGGCUUAUCAGCUUGUUGGUGGGGUAGUGGCUUACCAAGGCUUUGACGGGUAGCCGGCCCGAGAGGGUGACCGGCCACAUUGGGACUGAGAUACGGCCCAGACUCCUGCGGGAGGCAGCAGUGGGGAAUAUUGCACAAUGGGCGGAAGCCUGAUGCAGCAACGCCGCGUGCGGGAUGACGGCCUUCGGGUUGUAAACCGCUUUCGCCUGUGACGAAGCGUGAGUGACGGUAAUGGGUAAAGAAGCACCGGCUAACUACGUG